UAAAGUUAUUAAAUGUUACAAAUAUUAUGCAUAAAUGUAUCCUUUUGACAUGACAGCUCAGGGAAGUUACCUAGCUUUAAAAAUCAUAAAAAAUCAACUCCUUUGCCAGUUUCCUCCAUUCCAACGCUAUUUUGCCCUUGAAAAGGGGACUCCAGGAAGUGCCCAGAAGUGACAAUUGCUGAGCUGAUUGUUGGCCAAGGAAAGCCUAAUCCCAUCACCAGACUUGCCA